rnacentral:lncRNA from 1 species
UCCAAGCAAGUGUCACAUGGACUUUGAAGCCCCCGCUCUUGAUUUAAUCCUUUUCCACUUUGAACUUCACCACUCUCUAACAAUUGCUCCAACAACUCUGCUUGAUGAUCCCGAAGUUGAUCUCUACUCUUAGAAGAAGAUCCAAUUAUAUUCAACACGUUAGUAACAAUAGCAAAGAACGUCUUAACCUCCUUGUAUGUUUUAGCAACAACUACAAGCGUCAAUUAUAAUUGAUGCGCAAAAUAAUAAACAGAAUAUCCCCAUGUAAUUUCUUGCAAAAUUAAAGCUUUAAGGUCAUUCAUCUUUUCCUACACUAGCCCCAUCAUAGCCUUGUCCACAUAUUUUGGAUGGACUUAGAAAAUAUUUACAUUUAGAAGCAUAUUUCCAAGCAAUUCCAAAAGCCCUAAAAAAGCCUUUAUUUUUUGAAGAUUCACUUUCAUUAUGACCACGAAAAGGCAAUCCAAAGUCCAAGAGAAACCUUGCAACAUCAAUUGAGGCAUUUAAACGAAUUCGAUAUUCAAUUUUUUUUUUAUCAGAUUGCUUUUCAAAAGCAGCUUGAAUUGAUUGAGAUUGAUUUGACAAGGCUAACAUAUUGUUGAAGCACUUAUGGUGGAGAUUACCUACUUCACCAACAUGUAGAUCAAAUCUUUCGGUUGCUUUAUUCCAACCCCUAAUGUCGGUUUUUGUGAAAGAGUCUCCCGUGCUUCCAUUAACGUAACCAUUUUUGAAUAAAUAGAAACACAAACAAAAGCAUCUUUCUUCACACUAUACUUUAACCAUCUACAAUGAGAACCUUUAAACCAACCCGAAUUAAAUUGGCACAUUUCUUGCCAAAUAAAGUUUUAGAAAAUUUGUGAUCUGGUUGGCAGGGCCCUCUUUGGAUGUAGUGUCUUCUCACUUCAUCCCGUAUUAUAGGGCUAUAUCUAUCAAUGGGUAUUCUCUCUCCGGGGUCGGUAUUAAGUGAUUUCACAUCAAACUCUUGUACCAGAUGGGAAGAAUUAUCUCUAAAAUUAGAACUUGGUUGAGGAGAAUUAAACCUCGUCAAAAAAUUUUCCAUCUCAAUUCACAUCAAGAGAACUUCCUACAAAGCAACAAUGCCAAGUAACAUAAUACUCUUAAUUUGACUAUUCUUUUAUAUAAAAAAGCGAAAAGAAUUUAGAGGAGCCAAACAAAAGAUCAGACUAAUCAUAGUCCAACUAAAUUAAUAAGAAAAAGGGUAAAGAAAGAUAAUUAAAAUUAGGAUUUCAUCAAUUUCAUUUCCUUUAUUUUACUUCCUUUUUCAUUUUCCAUGGAAAAUGGAGAUAUCUAGAGGCUAGAGCAAUAUUUAUAAUCAAAUUGAAUAAAAAAGUUAUUCACAAAAAUCAGUAUUGCAGAGAUGAAAAAAUAACAAAAAAAGUAGAAGAAUAAGUGGAUUUACCAGAUCAACAAUUAGGCUGAUAGCUUUUGCCAUCUCUGACUCUGCUCCACGGAAAAAUCAAACCAACGACAAAACACCAAAAGAAAACUAUUGAUUGAUUGAUUUCACUCGGUGAAUCUAUGAUGGUGAAAAGGUAAAAACUGAAAUUUGUUUUAGACAUUAGAAUGAACUGAUGAAUAAUGUCAAAGAGAGAAAAGAGAAU